rnacentral:rRNA from 1 species
UGGGGAAUAUUGCACAAUGGGCGAAAGCCUGAUGCAGCAACGCCGCGUGAGCGAUGAAGGCCUUCGGGUCGUAAAGCUCUGUCCUCAAGGAAGAUAAUGACGGUACUUGAGGAGGAAGCCCCGGCUAACUACGUGCCAGCAGCCGCGGUAAUACGUAUGGGGCAAGCGUUAUCCGGAAUUAUUGGGCGUAAAGAGUGCGUAGGUGGUUACCUAAGCGCAAGGUUUAAUCUUGAGGCUCAACCUCAUUCUGCCUUGCGAACUGGGCUACUUGAGUGCAGGAGGGGAAAGCGGAAUUCCUAGUGUAGCGGUGAAAUGCGUAGAUAUUAGGAAGAACACCGGUGGCGAAGGCGGCUUUCUGGACUGUAACUGACACGGAGGCACGAAAGCGUGGGGAGCAAACAGG